rnacentral:rRNA from 1 species
UUUUCUUACGGGGGGCAGCAGUGGGGAAUAUUGCACAAUGGGGGAAACCCUGAUGCAGCGACGCCGCGUGAGUGAAGAAGAAUUUCGGUAUGUAAAGCUCUAUCAGCAGGGAAGAAAAUGACGGUACCUGACUAAGAAGCCCCGGCUAACUACGUGCCAGCAGCCGCGGUAAUACGUAGGGGGCAAGCGUUAUCCGGAUUUACUGGGUGUAAAGGGAGCGUAGACGGUAUGGCA